rnacentral:rRNA from 1 species
GUGGGGAAUAUUGGACAAUGGGCGCAAGCCUGAUCCAGCCAUGCCGCGUGAGUGAUGAAGGCCUUAGGGUUGUAAAGCUCUUUCACCGAUGAAGAUAAUGACGGUAGUCGGAGAAGAAGCCCCGGCUAACUUCGUGCCAGCAGCCGCGGUAAUACGAAGGGGGCUAGCGUUGUUCGGAUUUACUGGGCGUAAAGCGCACGUAGGCGGUUUGUUAAGUCAGGGGUGAAAUCCCGGAGCUCAACUCCGGAACUGCCUUUGAUACUGGGUGUCUGGAGUAUGGAAGAGGUAAGUGGAAUUCCGAGUGUAGAGGUGAAAUUCGUAGAUAUUCGGAGGAACACCAGUGGCGAAGGCGGCUUACUGGUCCAUUACUGACGCUGAGGUGCGAAAGCGUGGGGAGCAAACAGGAUUAGAUACCCGGGUAGUCC